UACAGGGGGGGCAAGCGUUGUUCGGAAUUACUGGGCGUAAAGGGCCCGUAGGCGGCCAACUAAGUCACACGUGAAAUCCCCAGGCUUAACCUGGGAACUGCGUGUGAUACUGGAUGGCUUGAAUUCGGGAGAGGGAUGCAGAAUUCCAGGUGUAGCGGUGAAAUGCGUAGAUAUCUGGAGGGAUACCGGUGGCGAAGGCGGCAUCCUGGACCGACAUUGACGCUGAACGGCGAAAGCUAGGGGAGCAAACGGG
rnacentral:rRNA from 1 species